UACGUAGGUGGCAAGCGUUGUCCGGAAUUAUUGGGCGUAAAGAGCUCGUAGGCGGCCUGUUACGUCUGCUGUGAAAUCCCGGGGCUUAACCCCGGGCGUGCAGUGGAUACGGGCAGGCUGGAGGCAGGCAGGGGAGAACGGAAUUCCCGGUGUAGCGGUGAAAUGCGCAGAUAUCGGGAGGAACACCGGUGGCGAAGGCGGUUCUCUGGGCCUGUACUGACGCUGAGGAGCGAAAGCGUGGGGAGCGAACAGG
rnacentral:rRNA from 1 species